GAUGACGCUGGCGGCGUGCCUAAUACAUGCAAGUCGAACGAGUGGCGGACGGGUGAGUACUGUCUGGGAAACUGCCUGAUGGAGGGGGAUAACUACUGGAAACGGUAGCUAAUACCGCAUACCAUCGGAUGUGCCCAGAUGGGAUUAGCUAGGAGGUGGGGUAACGUCUCACCUAGGCGACGAUCCCUAGCUGGUCUGAGAGGAUGAACAGCCACACGGGAACGGAGACACGUGCCAGAUUCCUACGGGAGGCAGCAGUGGGGAAUAUUGCACAAGGGGCGCAAGCCUGAUGCAGCCAUGCCGCGUGUAUGAAGAAGGCCUUCGGGUUGUAAAGUACUUUCAGCGGGGAGGCGUUACCCGCAGAAGAAGCACCGGCUAACUCCGUGCCAGCAGCCGCGGUAAUAC
rnacentral:rRNA from 1 species